rnacentral:rRNA from 1 species
UACGUAGGGUGCAAGCGUUGUCCGGAAUUAUUGGGCGUAAAGAGCUCGUAGGCGGUUUGUCGCGUCUGCUGUGAAAACUCGGGGCUUAACCCCGGGGCUGCAGUGGGUACGGGCAGACUAGAGUGCGGUAGGGGAGACUGGAAUUCCUGGUGUAGCGGUGAAAUGCGCAGAUAUCAGGAGGAACACCGGUGGCGAAGGCGGGUCUCUGGGCCGUAACUGACGCUGAGGAGCGAAAGCGUGGGGAGCGAACAGG